rnacentral:rRNA from 1 species
GACGAACGCUGGCGGCGUGCUUAACACAUGCAAGUCGAACGGGCCCGCCCCUGUUUUUGGGGGUGGGUUGAGUGGCGAACGGGUGAGUAUCACGUGAGUAACCUGCCCCCUGCUCCUGGAUAACUGCUUGAAAGGGCGGCUAAUACGGGGUGUGCCGGCUGGUCCGCAUGGGCCUGGUCGGGAUAGUUUCAUCUUCGGGUGUUUCGGUGGGGGAUGGGCUCGCGGCCUAUCAGCUUGUUGGUGGGGUGAUGGCCCACCAAGGCGGUGACGGGUAGCCGGCCUGAGAGGGUGGGCGGCCACACUGGGACUGAGACACGGCCCAGACUCCUGCGGGAGGCAGCAGUGGGGGGUAUUGCACAAUGGGCGGAAGCCUGAUGCAGCGACGUCGCGUGAGGGAGGGAGGCCUUCGGGUUGUGAACCUCUUUCUCCGGUGGUGAAGGCCCUGUCCGUUGCGGCGGGGUUGACGGUAGCCGGGUAUGAAGCGCCGGCUAACUACGU